rfam:Capsicum annuum cultivar Zunla-1 unplaced genomic scaffold scaffold5760, whole genome shotgun sequence
UACCUGAUUAAUCCUGCUAGUACUCAUAUGCUUGUCUCAAAGAUUAAGCUAUGAAGGUGUAAGUAUAAACAAACUCAGACUGUGAAAUUGCGAAUCGCUCAUUAAAUCAAUUAUAGAUUGUUUGAUGGUAUCUACUACUCGGAUAUCCGUAGUAAUUCUAUAGCUAAUACAUGCAACAAACCCCGACUUCUGGAUGGGAUGUAUUUAUUAGAUAAAAGGUCGAGGCGGGAUCUGCCCAAUGCUGCAAUGAUUCAUGAUAACUCGACGGAUCGCACAGCCAUCGUGCCAGCAAUACAUCAUUUAAAUUUUUGUCCUGUCAAGUUUUGAUGGUAGGAUAGUGGCCUACCAUGGUGGUGAUGGGUGAUGGAGAAUUAGGGUUCAAUUUUGGUGAGGGAUCCUGAAAAACGGCUACCAUAUCCAAGGAACGCAGCAGGCACGCAAAUUACCCAUUCUUGACAUGGGGAGGUAGUGACAAUAAAUAAGAAUACUGGGCUCAAUGAGUCUGGUAAUUGAAAUGAGUACAAUCUAAAUCCCUUAACGACGAUCCAUUGGAGGGAGAGUCUGGUGCCGCAGCCGCGGUAAUUCCAGCACCAAUAGCAUAUAUUUAAGUUGUUGCAGUUAAAAAUCUCGAAGUUGGACUUUGGGAUUGGCCGGCCGGUCCGCCUAUGGUGUGCAUUGGUCAUCUCAUUCCUUCUGUAGGCGAUGCACUCCUACCUUGAACUGGCUGGGUCAUGCCUCUGGCGCUGUUACUUUGAAGAAAUUAGAGUGCUUAAAGCAAGCCUACGCUCUGUAUACAUUAGCAUGAGAUAAUAUUAUAGGAUUUCUGUCCUAUUACGUUAGCCUUCGGGAUCAGAGUAAUGAUUAACAGGGACAGUCGGGGGCAUUCGUAUUUCAUAGUCAGAGGUAAAGUUAUUGGAUAUAUGAAAUACGAACAACGACGAAAGCACUUUCCAAGGAUGUUUUCAUUAAUCAAGAGUAAAAGUUGGGGGCUCGAAGGAGGUCAGAUACCGUCCUCAUCUCAAUCAUAAAAGAUGCCGACCAGGGAUCGGUGGAUGUUGCUUUUUGGACUCCGCCGGCACCUGAUGAGAAAUCAAAAUGUUUGGGUUUCGGGGGGAGUAUAGUCGCAAGGCUGAAACAUAAAGGAAUUAACGGAAGGGCACCACCAGGAGUGGAGCCUGCGGCUUAAUUGGACUCAACACGAGAAAACUUACCAGGUCCAGACAUAGUAAAGAUUGACAGACUGAGAACUCUUUCUAGAUUCUAUGGGUGGUGGUGCAUGGCCGUUCUUAGUGUGUGGAGCGAUUUGUCUGGUUAAUUCCGUUAACAAAUGAGACCUCAGCCUGUUAACUUGCUAUACGGAGGUAUCCCUUCGCAGCCAGCUUCAUAGUGGGACUACAGCCUUUUAGGCCGCGGAAGUUUGAGGCAAUAACAGGUCUGUGAUGCCCUUAGAUGUUUUGGGCCGAACGCGCGCUACACUGAUGUAUUCAUUGAGUUUAUAGCCUUGGCCGACAUGCCUGGGUAAUCUUUGAAAUUUUGUCAUGAUGGGGAUAAAUCAUUUCCAUUGUUGGUCUUCAAAGAGGAAUUCUUAGUAAGUGCGAGUCAUCAUCUCGCGUUGACUACAUCUCUACCCUUUGUACACACCUCCCGUCGCUCCUACCAAUUGAAUGAUCCAGUGAAAUGUUUGGAUUGCAGCGACGUAGGAGGUUCGCUUCCUGCAAUGUCAAAAGAAGUCCAUUGAACCUUAUCAUUUAGAGGAAGGAGAAUUCAUAACAAGGUUUCCAUAGGUGAACCUGCAGAAGGAUCAUUG